rnacentral:rRNA from 1 species
UGCGUAGGGCGCGAGCGUUGUCCGGAUUUAUUGGGCGUAAAGAGCUCGUAGGCGGCUUGUUGCGUCGACCGUGAAAACCCGGGGCUCAACUUCGGGCUUGCGGUCGAUACGGGCGGGCUAGAGUUCGGUAGGGGAGACUGGAAUUCCUGGUGUAGCGGUGAAAUGCGCAGAUAUCAGGAGGAACACCGAUGGCGAAGGCAGGUCUCUGGGCAUUAACUGACGCUGAGGAGCGAAAGCAUGGGGAGCGAACAGG